GACGAACGCUGGCGGCGUGCUUAACACAUGCAAGUCGAGCGGAAAGGCCCUUUUGGGGGUACUCGAGCGGCGAACGGGUGAGUAACACGUGAGUAAUCUGCCCUUCACUUUGGGAUAGCCACCGGAAACGGUGAUUAAUACCGGAUACGACGCACUCGGGCAUCCGAUGUGUGUGGAAACUUUUUGGGUGGGGGAUGUGCUCGCGGCCUAUCAGCUUGUUGGUGGGGUAAUGGCCUACCAAGGCUUUGACGGGUAGCCGGCCUGAGAGGGUGGCCGGCCACCCUGGGACUGAGAAACGGACCAGACUCCUACGGAAGGCAGCGGUGGGGAAUAUUGGACACUGGGCGGAAGCCUGAUCCAGCAGCGCCGCGUGAGGGAUGACGGCCUUCGGGUUGUAAACCUCUUUCAGCACCGACGAAGCGCAAGUGACGGUAGGUGCAGAAGAAGGACCGGCCAACUACGUGCCAGCCGCCGCUGUAAUAC
rnacentral:rRNA from 1 species